rnacentral:rRNA from 1 species
AUGAAGAGGUUGAGGGAGAUGGCUUUAGAGGACUCGUCAUCAUCUGAAGAGGAAGAAGACGAUGAUGACUUUGGCACUGUUUUAGGCAUGAUUUUCAAUGAUGAUGUUCGGCGAGCGAGGAGAGGAUCACAGUUUGGCCGCAUAGACAUCAACCAUGAUAGAGAGGAGGGUCAUGCGAAGAUCAUGAGGGACUACUUUGCCCCAAAGCCAACCUAUCCGAAGAAGUACUUUUGCUGGCGCUUUCGGAUGCACACAAGUCUUUUCUCACCAUUGCAAAAGUCGUCGAGAGAUAUGAUGAUUGUUCAAGCUUCGGAGAAAUGCAUCUGGAGAGAUAAGUGCAAGCCCUCUGAUAAAAUGCAUUGCCGUUGUUCGAGUGUUGGCAUAUGGGUGUUCGGGCGAUGUAAUCGAUGA